rnacentral:tRNA from 1 species
AAGGCCUUAGCUUAAUUAAAGUGUCUGAGUUGCAUUCAGAAGAUGUGAGAUAGAGUCUUGCAGGCCUUA